rnacentral:rRNA from 1 species
CACGUAGGGCGCAAGCGUUGUCCGGAAUCACUGGGCGUAAAGCGCACGUAGGCGGAUUGUUAAGUCAGGGGUGAAAUGCCAAGGCUCAACCUUGGAACUGCCUUUGAUACUGGCAAUCUCGAGUCCGGGAGAGGUGAGUGGAACUGCGAGUGUAGAGGUGAAAUUCGUAGAUAUUCGCAAGAACACCAGUGGCGAAGGCGGCUCACUGGCCCGGUACUGACGCUGAGGUGCGAAAGCGUGGGGAGCAAACAGGG